rnacentral:rRNA from 1 species
AUUGAACGCUGGCGGUAUGCUUAACACAUGCAAGUCGAACGGUAGCAGGCCUUCGGGCGCUGACGAGUGGCGGACGGGUGAGUAACGCGUAGGAAUCUGCCUCAUAGUGGGGGACAACGUGUGGAAACGCACGCUAAUACCGCAUACGCCCUACGGGGGAAAGCGGGGGACCUUCGGGCCUCGCGCUAUGAGAUGAGCCUGCGUUAGAUUAGCUAGUUGGUAGGGUAAAGGCCUACCAAGGCGACGAUCUAUAGCUGGUCUGAGAGGACGAUCAGCCACACUGGGACUGAGACACGGCCCAGACUCCUACGGGAGGCAGCAGUGGGGAAUAUUGGACAAUGGGCGCAAGCCUGAUCCAGCAAUACCGCGCGUGUGAAGAAGGCCCUAGGGUUGUAAAGCACUUUCAAUAGGGAGGAAAACCUGUCGGUCAAUACCCGGCAGCUUGACAUUACCUAUACAAGAAGCACCGGCUAACUCCGUGCCAGCAGCCGCCGUAACAC